AACGAACGCUGGCGGCAUGCCUAACACAUGCAAGUCGAACGAGACCUUCGGGUCUAGUGGCGCACGGGUGCGUAACGCGUGGGAACCUGCCCUUAGGUUCGGAAUAACUCCCCGAAAGGGGUGCUAAUACCGGAUAAUGUCUUCGGACCAAAGAUUUAUCGCCUUUGGAUGGGCCCGCGUUGGAUUAGCUAGUUGGUAGGGUAAAAGCCUACCAAGGCGACGAUCCAUAGCUGGUCUGAGAGGAUGAUCAGCCACACUGGGACUGGGACACGGCCCAGACUCCUACGGGAGGCAGCAGUGGGGAAUAUUGGACAAUGGGCGGAAGCCUGAUCCAGCAAUGCCGCGUGAGUGAUGAAGGCCUUAGGGUUGUAAAGCUCUUUUACCCGGGAUGAUAAUGACAGUACCGGGAGAAUAAGCACCGGCUAACUCCGUG
rnacentral:rRNA from 1 species